CACCCAUAAUGCUUUAUGGAAGUCCAGAUGGAUAAGGUCUAUACACAGAGUCAUACGCAAAAAGUGGGAAGUUUUGAUAAGAAACGUUGAUGAUUACUGAAAAGAUCUGGCCUUGCACUUAGAAUGCACAGUAAACAGCACAAAGCCCACAAGGAAGCCAAUUCUUCUGUGACUUGCAGAGAGUGCAUCAAUUACUUGUUCCAAAUUCUCCGAGUUUCCAAAAGAAAAGGAAUCACAAGAAGAAAGCACAAACCCUUCCUUUAUUCUGAAUUUGUCUAGCUUCAAUAUAUAGCCAUUGGCUCUUGUCAUAC